rnacentral:tRNA from 1 species
GCUCCUGUAGCUCAGUCGGCAGAGCGUCGCCUUGGUAAGGCGGAGGUCAGCAGUUCAAGUCUGCCCGGGAGCU